GCCCUGCUAGCUCAGUCAGUAGAGCAUGAGACUCUUAAUCUCAGGGCCAUGGGUUUGGACCCCAUGUUGGGUG
rnacentral:tRNA from 1 species